UACGAAGGGUGCUAGCGUUGUUCGGAAUCACUGGGCGUAAAGCGCGCGUAGGCGGCUUUUCAAGUCAGGGGUGAAAUGCCUGGGCUCAACCCAGGAACUGCCUCUGAAACUGUUAAGCUGGAGUGUCGGAGGGGAUAGCGGAAUUGCUAAUGUAGCGGUGAAAUGCGUAGAUAUUAGCAGGAACACCGGUGGCGAAGGCGGCUAUCUG
rnacentral:rRNA from 1 species